GGUGGUUCUUGGGUGACACACCCUGGAAUCAGGCUCCUUCCUCUCUGGUUCCAGGUGGGUCACCUGAAAUCCACA
rfam:Myotis davidii contig144838, whole genome shotgun sequence.